rnacentral:tRNA from 1 species
GAGGGUGUGGCUCAGUGGUAGAGCACAUGCUUAGCAUGCCUGGGGUCCCUGGGUUCAAUCCCCAGUGCCUCCA